CACCUGCACAAUCUCUUGAUUACCGUGCAAACAGUUACCAUAUCUACCUGAGCACCCUCGGAUUUCUCGGAUGCGGCAAAGAGAUAAGUCAGAUUUGCCCCUGCCCGUUUUGUCCUAUAAGUAGUUCCUUCUUGGGUACUCCUUCUCCAUCACAUCAUUCUACAACUUCAACCUCACCUUUCCGGCGGCGGCGCUGUUCCAAAAGCUCUAAGAUCUCCGACGAGGCUCCUUCUUCACCAACUCCAAAACUCUCAAGCUUCUCCUCCGUGGCAAAAUGGCCGUCAACUUCAUCAUCCCUGAGGUCAGUCCUUCGCACCAUCUAUUAACCUUUUCUCGCACCCUCGUUUAUCUGCAAUCCGCCGUACUGAAUAUUUUUCCCCCUUCUCUUUUUUUGUUUUUUUUGUAUACCUCCAAAACCAUUAGGAAUCGGCUAACAAAAUUGUCAUCCCCACUAAUCGACCACAUCUCCAAUGCCUUGGCCCGUU
rnacentral:lncRNA from 1 species